GGGAAAUUCACAAUCUACUUUGAGAGAUUGAUUUAAACUUUACACUGUAUUUCUUCACAGGGUGACAGGGUUUCUAGAUUAAACAUGAAUUAUAGCAGCAAGCAGUUCUGUCUCCAUAGUACAAAGGAAUGAAUUAUAUUUGUAAAUAUAUGUAUGACUUGUUUAACUAAUGAUUUGUAUUGUAUUCUUUACCAAGAAAAAGAAUGUGACAAUUUUAUGUAUUCUCUCUCUUAUUUGAUAAAUCAUUAUAAGGAACCAGUUUCAGUUCCACCUAGUUCUACCUACCUGCAAGCAGGGACAACAUAUGGC
rnacentral:misc_RNA from 1 species